UACGUAGGGGGCUAGCGUUGUUCGGAAUCACUGGGCGUAAAGCGCACGUAGGCGGAUUGUUAAGUCGGGGGUGAAAUCCUGAGGCUCAACCUCAGAACUGCCUUCGAUACUGGCAAUCUCGAGUCCGGAAGAGGUUGGUGGAACAGCUAGUGUAGAGGUGAAAUUCGUAGAUAUUAGCUAGAACACCAGUGGCGAAGGCGGCCAACUGGUCCGGUACUGACGCUGAGGUGCGAAAGCGUGGGGAGCAAACAGG
rnacentral:rRNA from 1 species